rnacentral:snRNA from 2 species
GAAAAUACUGAGGGGGUUACCGCUUUUUUUCAGACCAUUCUUGAUGAAUGGAACGCAGGACGAACCUUUACUCAACCUCUCCACUAUUG